UACGGGGGGAGCAAGCGUUGUUCGGAUUUACUGGGCGUAAAGGGCGCGUAGGCGGCGUAACAAGUCACUUGUGAAAUCUCCGGGCUUAACUCGGAGCGGUCAAGUGAUACUGUUGUGCUAGAGUGCGGAAGGGGCUACUGGGAAUUCUCGGUGUAGCGGUGAAAUGCGUAGAUAUCGAGAGGAACACCUGCGGCGAAGGCGGGUAGCUGGGCCGACACUGACGCUGAAGCGCGAAAGCUAGGGGAGCGAACGGG
rnacentral:rRNA from 1 species